UUUUCCAACUAUGCCGGCCCGGGCAGGCAAGCUCUCCGCCGUGGAUCCUGCUCCAAAAUUAGUGCGCCCAGAUGCUCGGGCUGAAGUUGGUCCCACCAGCACCAGCCUGCCUAUCUUGUUCCUGCCUCGCCAUGAGUGUUGAGGAGAGGCUCCAGGCACCGAGAGAGGCAAAGUUCUUGGGACCCACUUCAAUGCUCGGAUUCUCCUUCGAGGUACUGCCACAUCAGUGGGCCAGAACACAUUCUUCCUCACGAGCUCAGCCAUGGAGUCUCCUUCCUCUUCCUAGAUCCGGUUUUUCCGAAAGCUGUUGACCAACACCUAUGGCUGCAAGAGAGGAGCAGAGCAAUGGGGUAGAGCCGCCGGACCAUCCAAAUUCAAUCGACAGUACAGGUAGUAGCUUCGAUCUGGUUUUCUAGUCCGCCACUUCAAUCUCCAGAAGGGGAAUCAAACUGGUGCCGCAAUGACAUUCCAGGAUAUGGUAAUGAGAGCCAGCAAAGGGGUGCUGAACUAUGCAGUUGAUGACAUGAAAGGAAAAAAUGUUACUGGCCGCGUAGAACAAGAUCAGAGUGACCUCCAAUGAUUCGGGAGUUCAUCUGGAUGUAGCAAGUUGCCCUGUGGAGCAUAACUCACCUGUGGAAGCUGCAUCUUCCUUCUUUUGCACGAGAGAUGGAAACCAGGAUGAAUCAGUGCCAUUUGCCUUACAAAUUGAAUAGGAAUGGAAUGUUUCUGGCAACCUGACAAUGAUGAUCAGUUUAGAAAUUGAAUCUCAGCCAUGGCCUAAGGGUGAGUAGGUUACCUGAAUGUAAAUUCAAUCAGUGGUCGUAUGGAACAAGAUGAGUCCUCCAUUGGAUAUUUAGGACUUCCAAGCAAGGAUUAUGGUGCAGAAAGUUACCUGGCUGAGCAGAACAGUUCAAGCAUCGGAAAACUUCAUCAAGCUCCGUCUUCAUCCGUUUGCGUGGGAAAUGGUGGUGAUAUGUCUAUUGGCGGUGGGAUUGGGAACCAAGAUGAAGCAUGGCAACAUGUUUUAACUGUAGAGGAGGGAAUUUUGCACCAACCUGACAAUGAUCCACACAGAUAAUGGAUCUCAACCAUGGCCAAAGUGUUAUGCACUUACUGAUUAUUUUUUUGAAAAACAAUUGAACUCAUAUCGGCAUUGAUUAACUGAACUAUAUUUGAUCUUGUUAAUGGAUAGACCAACUAGGAUAACAUUACAAAUUCGGUGUAGCUAGGCUGUAAAGUUUUCAAGAAAACAUAAUUAUUUUCAAUGCAGUUGUCUGCUCCUUAGCCAAUCAGGUAGUCUUCACAUAAUGCUUGGAAUGGCAUAUAUUGAAUUGCACAUGCUGACAUUAUCAGUGAGAUAGUGACCUACUUAUGUAUACAUGAACCAUUUGAAUCCUGUUUUAUUCAGGUGUAGUUAUGUGAUACUAACCUGGUAGAAUGACUUCAACCUUUACUACCCUUGCCUAUUUUCUUUUAUUGCAGUAAGAGGUUACCGAAGGAUGCACCUGAAGGGCGUACCCCAAGUUAGAUGGGUGCCAUCAAGAUGGUGCUGCGCAAUUCUUCUAAUAGAAAGGGUAAAUAUAUAUUUGAGGUACCAACUGGGAUGACUUUUCACAGCUUGAACGAAGACCCUGAGUUUUAUAAUAUAUACUCUUGGGAGGUUGGAUUUGGUACCAAGGAGAUAAAUAUGGGAAAUUAAUGCAAGAGUUCCAAUGCCAGUGCCACGGUUCUGACAAUCGAGAAGGUAAGCAAGAAGAAAAAAAAACACAAGUGCUGCGUCACUUGCGACCUUGAUGAUCAUAAGAUGCCGGCAUGUGUAGCCAAUAUUGUUGGUAUUAGUGACACAAGGGUGUAGGCAUUGUAUCUGCUAGAGUUAUUGAUAUGUAGAUGAUCUUAAGCAGAAGGUGUUUUUGUACUUCAAGGUUCUACGGACAUUGCAUAUGUCCUAGGGACCAUUAGCAUAGUCCACCGCUAGUUUGAUGAUUUAGCUAAUUUCGAAUGGAUAGACAACUUAAUCUCUCUUGUUGCUAUCACAACUGUAGCUAAUGUCGUUCCAAUUAAUGUACUUUUAUCACAUUUCAUUUGAUUUGUUACCAACCAGGACCCCGGCCCUGCAAAUUUGGUUGGCUAUAUUUAACUAAGAUGUUGCUA